GGAGGUAGUAUUUAUAUAAAAUAAAAACUUGGCAAAGAUAGCUCCGACGGAAAGCUUUGAAGAUUUAUCAAUACCAACAUCAAAGAGAAUCUCUCCAAGUAUGGGAUUGACGACUUGCCUGAUGAGUUGCUUAUUGCCAUACUUUGCUGUUUGAACUUCCACGAGGCAGCAAAGACCUGUAUUCUCUCGCAGCGCUGGAGAUACUUAUGGGAACAUACAAUUUGCAGAAUUGAAUUAUAUAACGACGACACAUUUGAAAUUGAGGCAGCAGAAAAGUUUGUUGAAAUUUCAUGAGGGUGCAUUUAUUGAGCGGUUAAUUUGCUGAGAACAUUGGCGACUCUCAAAUCUUUCCGAUUUGUUAAUGUCCACAUAAUACAGGACGUUAUUGAAUUCCGAUUUCUUGAGCUCGUUCAUUAUCUAAGUCUAGGUCCAUAGAAAUAUCAAAUUGUGAAGCUUUGAAGACUAUGAAGAUUCAUGCUGCAGAGCUUGUGUCUUUUACAUACAUUGGACGUACUAUCAAAGUGCCUUUCAAGAAAAGUUCCCCUCUUCUCUCAGCUAACUGUUGGAGGAGAUUAUGUGAUUCUUUUAUUUUUGAUGCUCACAAGCACUCUAGCUAUUGUCGAAAUCUUGAAGAAGCUUAAACUGGAAGUGUCAUAUGAGUUAUCUAGGAAAUGCUGGGUCAUUCCCAAUGUAUACUCUCAACUUUGCCACUGAAAGAGUUGGAAUUGGACAUCGCCACAGAAGAGGGUGAUGGCCUUUGCUUCUUCUCAUUCUUGACUAAGUGUUCUCCUCAGUUAUCAAGUUUAACCAUCCAGGUAACCGUUCUUGUUGCAUAUGCUUCUCCUUUAUGCCAUGCCACUUUCUUGCCUUCUAUAUGUUAUUUGACAAAAAGUCUUAACAAUGUCAACCUAACAAGUUCUUUGAAAUGAUGUGCUGAUUGUUUGAACUCUUUUAAACUAAUCUAGCACUGGAGCAGUGUAAGUAAAUCUUAAGAAGUUCUAAGAUGGCACAAGUUACCAUAAAAUCUGAAGAAGUUCUGAGAUGGUACAAUUUACGGCAAUAUAAUGGCACCAUUAAAUUAAAGCAUCAUCCUUAUACAUGGAAUGCGAUACAUUUUUUAAUAAAGAAUACAUGUAUUGGAAAUCGAUAAAGCCUAAAACAACAGAAGAAAGAUUAUUGUACAAUAAUGAGAUUGAUGAAGGAAAUUUAAAAUGUUUAUGCCAAUAUUAAAUUA